rnacentral:antisense_RNA from 1 species
UCCAGGACUCAGCUAGGGGAUGCCAGCCUCCCUGUGGCUGGGCCAGUCAGACCCCAGCACAUGGCCAUUCAACCAAAGCAACCUCUCACACUUGGUUGAUUGGUGAGUUGGAGGCUCCAGUGGCCCCUGUCAGACUUGAGACCUCAGACCUGCCCACCACAGCCAGUUUCCCACACAGUCUGGGACUGACUGGGUGACGGAGAAGGAUCCUUACCAUGGAAUCUUAUCCAGGUCCAGCCCCAGGGUUGCAAAGAUUGAUGAUUGGAAGUUGGGACUCCAGCCCAAGCUGGGGGAGGAUCCUUUCCCCUCUGGGCUCCUGUGUUUCCACCUAAGCCCGGCUCACCCAUGAGCCAGGCAUCUGCUGGCAGAUGAGAACAAGACGUGGUCUCAGGAAGUCUGCAGGCAGACCAGGAGCCCAGGCCUUCAAGGAUGAGACCUGAGGCCAUGCCGCAUUCCUGGCCUGGCCAUGUCUGUUCAUAGAAUUGCCUCCACGUUAGCCAGCCCCAUGCCUCCAGACUCUGUGUCUACACAGCUCACCUUGGCCAUCUUGGGGCCAGAGGGCAGAAGCAGCUUAUGUUGGGAAGGGGCAUCUGAGAAGGAGAUGGGGGCUCGCUGUGUCGCCCACGCUGGAGUGCAGUCGUGCAAUCAUGGCUUACUACAGCUUCAAACUCCUGGGCUCAAGCGACACUCACACCUCAGCCUCCCAAGUAGCUGGGAUUACAGGAGCAGGUCUGCUUGUCAAGAAUCCAAGCACGCCUGUGUUCUGUGGCCACAGGAGAGGAGGGGCCGCUUUUAAAUACAAGCCUACUCCUGUCGUUGGACCAGAACAAAGACCUACUGGCCAGAAGCACAUGAAAGGAGUUUCACUCUUGUCGCCCAGACUAGAGCACAAUGGUACGAUCUUGGCUCACUGCAACUUCCACCUCCCGAGUUCAAGCAAUUCUCCUGACAGAAGUCCACUCAAGCCAGCCAUUGUAGCUAGCAUCGGGGCUCCAGCC